AUUUUUUUUGAUUUAUUUAUAAUGUUUGGUGUCAAAAAUAUAUGUGAGAAAUGAGGUAUCUACCUAAUGGUAGGAAGAAAUUAAUUAUGUAAUGGAUGCAUCAAUGGAGAAGAAGGCAAUUGUAAUCACAAUACAAUAAUAGAUCUACAAAUACCAA